UACAGAGGUCUCAAGCGUUGUUCGGAUUCAUUGGGCGUAAAGGGUGCGUAGGCGGCGCGGUAAGUCGGGUGUGAAAUCUCGGAGCUUAACUCCGAAACUGCAUUCGAUACUGCCGUGCUUGAGGACUGGAGAGGAGAAUGGAAUUCCCGGUGUAGCGGUGAAAUGCGCAGAUAUCAGGAGGAACACCGGUGGCGAAGGCGGUUCUCUGGGCAUUACCUGACGCUGAGGAGCGAAAGUGUGGGGAGCGAACAGG
rnacentral:rRNA from 1 species